rnacentral:lncRNA from 1 species
AGCGCCCCUUGGACUUUUCAAAAGAGAGGCAUGGCGCCAUCUCUUCUUUCCUAUAAUUUUACAUACAAUAUUAAAAAAUAAAUGAGGAGAUAAUUUAGCCAACUUAUUGACUUAAUCCAAUCCUCUUGGGCUCACAAUUAGAUGUCCAGCUAAACUCAAAUAGAUUUAGAUUAGGUUCAAGGCUAUGGACUUGAUCCAAUCGAAGUUCAGAGAAGAAUUAGGUNN